UAAAUCCCAACUACAGGAUUUA
rnacentral:siRNA from 1 species